rnacentral:rRNA from 1 species
GCCCAACCUCCCACCCUUGUCUCUAUACACCUGUUGCUUUGGCGGGCCCACCGGGGCCACCUGGUCGCCGGGGGACGCACGUCCCCGGGCCCGCGCCCGCCGAAGCGCUCUGUGAACCCUGAUGAAGAUGGGCUGUCUGAGUACUAUGAAAAUUGUCAAAACUUUCAACAAUGGAUCUCUUGGUUCCGGCAUCGAUGAAGAACGCAGCGAAAUGCGAUAAGUAAUGUGAAUUGCAGAAUUCCGUGAAUCAUCGAAUCUUUGAACGCACAUUGCGCCCCCUGGCAUUCCGGGGGGCAUGCCUGUCCGAGCGUCAUUUCUGCCCUCAAGCACGGCUUGUGUGUUGGGUGUGGUCCCCCCGGGGACCUGCCCGAAAGGCAGCGGCGACGUCCGUCUGGUCCUCGAGCGUAUGGGGCUCUGUCACUCGCUCGGGAAGGACCUGCGGGGGUUGGUCACCACCAUGUUUUUACCACGGUUGACCUCGGAUCAGGUAGGAGUUACCCGCUGAACUUAAGCAUAUCAAUAARGC